rnacentral:lncRNA from 1 species
UACAAGAAAUUCUUCAUCUCAUAAAAGAACAAGUCAUAUAUUAUACAUUAACCCUAGUUCGACAUAAUAUAUAUUUAAAUGGCGAAGCAGACCUUGUUAGUGGGGAAAUAAAAGAAAUCUACCGCUCCGCCUGCACACGUGGAUAAUAUAAUGAGAUAAAAUCAAGUGUGGAGGAAGUCUCCACCUCUUAGCUCCUGCCGCCGCGUGGUGCCGGCGGGGAUACAGAUUCCUUUUACUUCUACACUAACAAGGUCCGCGUCGCCAUUUAAAUAUAUGUUAUGUCGAACUAGGGUUAAUGUAUAAUAUAUGACUUGUUUUUUUUAUGAGAUGCAUAAUUUUUUGGUUGUAGUUGCAGUUGCAGGUGAGUUUUAUAAUAUAGCACAAACUUGAUAUUGUAUGUAUAUAUAUAUAUAUAUAUAUGAAGUUAAUUAAGUUAUCUUUUCCUUUUUUGAAAAGAAUGAAAUUAAAUAUUGAUUCCAACUUUUUUUUUUGUUGCAUUUACUAAUUCUUUUCAUUAAGUUGUCUUCUUACUUCUGGCUGAACUGGUAAUUAAGUAUUAGCGGCUAAUUGCAGUUUACAAUAAAAGUGAUAUUUUCAUAGAUUUUUCAAGAGAUGGGAUCCUGUGUGCCGCAAUAAAUUUUGUGACCGGCUACCUGGGUGUCUUUGAAUGAGGAUGCAAAUUUUAAAUAAUUUUUUUUUUUUUUUUUAUUAAUGAUACAAGAUAAUCUGUAAUCACUCAAGGAGCACUGAACAAAUCCUACUCUUGUAAAAUAACAUGCAAAUCACACACAACGAAGUAUAAGUUAC